GUCCCGCCUGCCCACUGAUCCCAGAUUCAACGGCCGCGGUAUUUUGACCGUGCUAAGGUAGCGUAAUCACUUGUCUUUUAAAUGAAGACCCGUAUGAAAGGCUUAACGAGGGCUUAACUGUCUCCUUUUUCCAGUCAAUGAAACUGAUCUCCCCGUGCAGACGCGGGGAUUAAAACAUAAGACGAGAAGACCCUAUGGAGCUUUAGACACCAAGGCAGCCUAUUUUAAAUAACCCUAAACAAGCAACAAAUCUAUUAGUAACCUGCCUCAGUCUUAGGUUGGGGCGACCCUGGGGAAAUACAAAACCCCCAUGUGGAGAGGGGGGACCUACUACACAACCCCUAAAGACUCGAAACACAAUUCUAAUCAACAGAACCUCUGACCAAAUUGAUCCGGCCCAAGCCGAUUAACGAAACAAGUUACCCUAGGGAUAACAGCGCUAUCCCCUUUUAAAGUCCAUAUAGACAAGGGGGCUUACGACCUCGAUGUUGGAUCAGGACAUCCUAAUGGUGCAGCCGCUAUUAAGGGUUCGUUUGUUCAACGAUUAAAGUCCUACGUGAUCU
rnacentral:rRNA from 1 species